GUUUAAGGAACGUAACCUAAGCUCGCGACGUCCUGUCGCAACGGUUACGUGACCCGCAUCGUGCGUG
rnacentral:sRNA from 1 species